AUGGCGCCGCCUGGCCUUCACGGCUUACCCGUGGCGCUUGUCAUCGCCGCCGCGGUUCUUGGCUCGUUCUGCCUCAGACUCGCCGCCUCACAGCAGCAGGGAGAGGAAGCUGCGGGGGAGGAGGCGGAGAGGCAGAGGUACAACUUCCGGUUCGUGCGGCACGCGCGGGACGCGCCGCUCGUGUCCCACUACAACUACAUCGUGGUCGGCGGCGGCACGGCCGGGUGCCCGCUGGCGGCGACGCUGUCGGAGCGCUCGCGCGUGCUCCUCCUGGAGCGCGGUGGCUACCCGUACGGCAACCGCAACGUGUCGAGCGAGUACCACUUCGCGGACGCGCUGGCGGACACGUCGCCGUGGUCGCCGGCGCAGCGGUUCGUGUCGGAGGACGGCGUGGUGAACGCCCGCGCGCGCGUGCUUGGCGGCGGGAGCUGCCUCAACGCCGGGUUCUACACGCGCGCCAGCAGCGAGUACGUGCGCGCCGCCGGGUGGGACGCGCGCCUGGUGAACGCGUCGUAUCGGUGGGUGGAGCGCGAGCUGGUGUUCCGCCCGGAGGUGCCGCGGUGGCAGUCCGCGCUCCGGGAGGGCCUCCUCCAGACCGGCGUCACCCCGGACAACGGCUACACCUUCGACCACGUCCCCGGCACCAAGAUCGGCGGCACCAUCUUCGACAGCGCCGGCCGCCGCCACACCGCCGCCGACUUCCUCCGCAGCGCCAACCCGCGACGCCUCACCGUGUUCCUGCACGCCACCGUGUCGCAGAUCCUCUUCCGGCGCAGAGAGGGGUCGGCGAGCCCGGUGGCGUACGGCGUGGUGUUCACGGACCCGAUGGGGGUGCAGCACCGCGUGUACCUGCGGGGCGUGGGGAGAAGCGAGGUGAUCCUGUCGGCGGGGACGCUGGGGAGCCCGCAGCUGCUGAUGCUGAGCGGCGUCGGCCCGCGCGCGCACCUGGAGAGGCACGGCGUCCGCGCCGUCGUGGACCGCCCCAUGGUCGGGCAGGGCGUGGCCGACAACCCCAUGAACUCGGUGUUCGUCCCGUCCCCCGUCCCCGUGGCGCUCUCCCUGGUCCAGGUCGUCGGCGUCACCCGCUUCGGCAGCUUCAUCGAGGGCGUCAGCGGCUCCCAGUUCGGCAUCCCCCUCCACUCCCGCCGCCGCGCCCACUCCUUCGGCAUGUUCUCCCCCAUGACGGGGCAGCUGGGGACGCUGCCGCCGAGGGAGAGGACGGCGGAGGCGAUGCGGCGGGCGGCGGAGGUGAUGCAGGGGCUGGACCGGCGGGCGUUCCGGGGCGGCUUCAUCCUGGAGAAGAUCCUGGGGCCGCUGUCGACGGGGCACGUGGAGCUGCGGUCGACGGACCCGCACGCGAACCCGGCGGUGACCUUCAACUACUUCCGGGACCCCAGGGACGUGGAGCGGUGCGUGCGCGGGAUCCAGACCAUCGAGCGGGUGGUGCGGUCGCGGGCAUUCGCCCGCUUCACCUACGCCAACGCGACCGCCAUGGACGCCGCCUUCGACCGCGCCGCGCUGGCCAAGUUCCUCAACCUGCUGCCCCGGCACCCCCGGGACACCCGCCCGCUGCAGCAGUACUGCCGGGACACCGUGAUGACCAUCUGGCACUACCACGGCGGCUGCCACGUCGGGCCCGUCGUCGACCAGGACUACCGCGUCAUCGGCGUCGCCGGCCUCCGCGUCGUCGACAGCUCCACCUUCAAGUACUCCCCCGGCACCAACCCGCAGGCCACCGUCAUGAUGCUCGGCAGGUACAUGGGGCUCAGGAUUCAGGAGGAGGGAUGGAGACCAGGACCCAGAAAUUAA
rnacentral:rRNA from 1 species